rnacentral:rRNA from 2 species
UCAGAUAUUUUACCUUGAGAAAAUUAGAGUGUUUCAGGCAGGCUUGCGCCGGAAUACAUUAGCAUGGAAUAAUAGAAUAGGACUUUAGUCUCCUUUGUUGGUUUGAGGGACUGAAGUAAUGAUUAAUAGGGAUAGUUGGGGGCAUCAGUAUUUAAUUGUCAGAGGUGAAAUUCUCGGAUUUGUUAAAGACUAACUUAUGCGAAAGCAUUUGCCAAGGAUGUUUUCAUUAAUCAAGAACGAAAGUUAGGGGAUCAAAGACGAUCAGAUACCGUCCUAGUCUUAACCAUAAACUAUGCCGACUAGGGAUCGGAGGCGCGCUAUAUCCGCCUUCGGCGCCUUACGGGAAAC